UACGUAGGGUGCAAGCGUUGUCCGGAAUUAUUGGGCGUAAAGAGCUCGUAGGCGGCUAGUCGCGUCGGCUGUGAAAACCUGGGGCUCAACCCCGGGCCUGCAGCCGAUACGGGCUAGCUAGAAUUCGGUAGGGGAGACUGGAAUUCCUGGUGUAGCGGUGAAAUGCGCAGAUAUCAGGAGGAACACCGGUGGCGAAGGCGGGUCUCUGGGCCGAUACUGACGCUGAGGAACGAAAGCGUGGGGAGCGAACAGG
rnacentral:rRNA from 1 species